UCCCUGGUGGCUCAGAGGUUAAAGCGUCUGCCUGUAAUGCGGGAGACCUGGGUUCGAUCCCUGAGUUGGGAA
rnacentral:tRNA from 1 species